GACUUCAAACUCCCAGAAUUCCUCACCCUGGCUGGGGAAUUCUGGGAGUUGAAGUCCAAACCUUUUCAAGCUGUCAAGGUUGAGAAACAUACUGAUCUGGAAAUAGAUUUGUUGAAUAUAAUUCAGACACUGUUUGCUACUGUUUUCUUCCAGAACGUUUUGUGUCUCCUUGUCUAGCCACCUGAGGGGUUUUACAGCUUCCAUUUUAAGUCCUCCAUAAUGAAGUUUGAUCCUGCUUAGCUCUUGAGAGCCAAGAGACCUACCGAGUUAGCCCUCCAGCUUGAUGUCAUUGAAUUUCACCAGGAAGACUCAGGAAUGGAAAAUGGUUGCAAGCAUCGAUCAGUCGCAGAGGGAAGUCUUCAAGAUGUCUUUAUGGAGCCCACAGUUUCAUGUGUUUCAUGUACAUAGCAUGACGUAUCGGUCCUGGGCCCCAUUUGGUAAUUUUCAGAAGAUUCCACUAACUUGUAGACCGUCAAGUUGCAUCGUGAAUAUAUUGAACAUCUCAGGUAUGAUAAGAAGCUCAGUGGCCUCAAGUAGAUAAAUCUGGUCUGCUGCUACAAAUCACCCCAAGGGAAAAUAAGAAGGUUCAGACAAAUAAGAAUUUUUGAAGGAAAAAUACUUUCUUCCAAUAGAAUGAAGAAAAAUCUAUGUUUACAACUCUGCGGUGGGCAGAAACAGGUUUCUGUCAUCUCCUACUCAUCCCAAAAUGAAGAUUUACCAGUGGAGAAUUAUCUUUAAAAUUAUUUUGGAAACUCGUGUUUUUGAUGUCAGGUUUGAGAAACAAGCAUCUGCUGGGAGGACUUGUUUUCAAAAAAAUAAUAAUUCAGCUUAACCUAGAUUGGUCCUGGAUAAAAAUCAUAAUUCAAAACAAGCCUAUGUUUAUGGACAAAAACCAGAACUGUUCAAAAUAGGUGAUUCAUGGGUCCAUUUUGUGAGGGGCCGAAACCCCAAUUCUGCAAUUGCCGGGGUGAUCAGGAUUGUAGGAUUGAAAAGAGACCACUUGGAAUAGUGACAGUAUUUUUUUUUUAAAAUGACACAAUUUAUAGUGAAGGCAAUUCUGCCUUGACCUGGUUUAACAUAGCUCUUUUCUUUUGUUUUCUUCGCCGAUUAUCAGAUGAUGUCCUUCACAAAAAGUCUUGAAGAAAAGGCCAUGUUGGUGGAAUUAAGCGAAUAAUUAGUUCAAAAAUAUUUUUUUAAAAAAAUCCAGGAUCCUUUUUUUUUUUUUUUAAGGAAGUGUGCACAAAUCAGCAUUGCGUUUGUUUAGAUUGGGAUGGCAGGGUAAAAAAAAAUUCAGCUAAUUUUUAGCUGUGUCUAGAUCAAUACAUGCAGAGUCGCCUUGAACCGUGGAGCUGGGCAGCAAAUAAAUUGGAUUAUAAUAUAAUAAUACACACCAAAUAAUAUCAAUUCCUGUGUUCUGUAUUUAUACCCAAUGCAUGGGAAGACAUCCUAGGGUCAGAAGACAGAACCAAUGUUGUUUUUAAGACUCUUCUUAUAUACCUGCAGUAUUAAAAAAAAAGCAAAUUACCAAAAGAUUAAUCUAUAAUGCAAAAAAAAAAAAAGAGAGAGCUUCUUUAACAGUUAACUGUUACAGUCAGCAGUUGUGCUCCCCAAACUGUAAGGAUUUUAAUCUGGGUGUGGUGGUUUUGAGAUACCAGCAUCUUUAUUCCAUCUUUCACCAGAGAAAACACCACUCUUCCCUUUCAAAAACCGCACCACCAAAGCCUACACACACACUGCUGUUCGCAUUCCAUUCCGCUGGGAAAUACUUGAAAUUAACUAAAUAGCCAUAACAAAUCUAUGCUGUUAAUAGAGUUUUGACCACUUUUUUUUUUUUUAGUCUUUUUUCUUGUACAUUUUUCUCAUUUGCCAGUUGUGUAAGAAGCCCAUUUUGACUGCGUUCACAUGACAUGUUUAAACAUUAUAGAAAGUGGCUGUGUUGACAGCCACUUAAAUUUGCCAACAUGAACUUGAGAGGAAUUCUUCUAGUUUUGAAGUGUGGAAUUCCACCUAGUGAGAUUAAAAAUUCUGAGAAUUAUUAUCUGAGCUGAGAAAAAUGGAUGAAUUUGUCAUAUUAAAUCUUUUGUGCGAACGAGCCAGAAAGUAUGUUGUCGAUCAUUAAUACAUUUCAUUGUAAAUGGUAUUUACAAGUUGUACAUGGAAUAAUUACUUACGAACAGUAAACACUUUUGGAUGUUUCAGUGUUCAGCACUAAUAAAAAUGGAACAAAACGUUCCUUUUGUUUCAUCAUA